rnacentral:rRNA from 1 species
UACGGGAGGCAGCAGUGGGGAAUAUUGCACAAUGGGCGCAAGCCUGAUGCAGUAACGCCGCGUGAGGGAUGACGGCCUUCGGGUUGUAAACCUCUUUUAGUAGGGAAGAAGCGAGAGUGACGGUACCUGCAGAAAAAGCACCGGCUAACUACGUGCCAGCAGCCGCGGUAAUACGUAGGGUGCAAGCGUUGUCCGGAAUUAUUGGGCGUAAAGAGCUCGUAGGCGGUUUGUCGCGUCUGCUGUGAAAACCCGAGGCUCAACCUCGGGCCUGCAGUGGGUACGGGCAGACUAGAGUGCAGUAGGGGAGAUUGGAAUUCCUGGUGUAGCGGUGGAAUGCGCAGAUAUCAGGAGGAACACCAAUGGGCGAAAGGCAGAUCUCUGGGCUGUAAACUGACGCUGAGGGAGCGAAAAGCAUGGGGAGCGAACAGGGAUUAGAUAC